AGAAUCAACGCUGGCGGCGUGCCUAACACAUGCAAGUCGAACGAGAAAGGGUAGCAAUACCUGAGUAAAGUGGCGCACGGGUGAGUAACACGUGACUAACCUACCUUUUAGUGGGGGGAUAACCUAGGGAAACCUGGGCUAAUACCGCAUAAUACCUACGGGUCAAAGCAGCAAUGCGCUGAAAGAGGGGGUCGCGGUCGAUUAGUUAGUUGGCAGGGUAAUGGCCUACCAAGACUGUGAUCGAUAUCCGGCCUGAGAGGGCGCACGGACACACUGGAACUGAAACACGGUCCAGACUCCUACGGGAGGCAGCAGUGGGGAAUUUUGCGCAAUGGGGGAAACCCUGACGCAGCAACGCCGCGUGGAGGAUGAAGUCCCUUGGGACGUAAACUCCUUUCGAUCGGGACGAUAAUGACGGUACGGAAGAAGAAGCCCGGCUAACUUCGUGCCAGCAGCCGC
rnacentral:rRNA from 1 species